AGCUUUGCACAGUGGCAGUAUCGUAGCCAAUGAGGUUUAUCCGAGGUGCGAUUAUUGGUAAUUGAAAACUUUUCCCAAUAUCCCACUAUGACAACUUGAAAUAUAGUCAGCAUUGGCAAUUUUUGACAGUCUGUAGGGAGA
ensembl:snRNA U4 U4 spliceosomal RNA